rnacentral:rRNA from 1 species
UACGUAGGCGGCUUUGUAAGUAAGAGGUGAAAGCCUGGAGCUCAACUCCAGAACUGCCUUUUAGACUGCAUCGCUUGAAUCCAGGAGAGGUGAGUGGAAUUCCGAGUGUAGAGGUGAAAUUCGUAGAUAUUCGGAAGAACACCAGUGGCGAAGGCGGCUCACUGGACUGGUAUUGACGCUGAGGUACGAAAGCGUGGGGAGCAAACA